ensembl:lncRNA
GAGUUUCUCUCCACUGAUUGAACUAUCCUGUCACAAUGCUGUCACGUACAUUAACUAUUUGUUUCAUCUUGGCUUUGGCUGGCCUGGUUAUCCCAGCCCCCGUUAAUGAUGGAGAUACAGACAUGGGAACCACAGGCAGUCCUGAUGCCCCAGACUCAGUAGAUCUGGACAAGUCUCUAGAAAAUAACUUAACAGAGUCUUCAGAAAUUAACUCCAAAGAGUCUUCAGAAAUUAACUCCAAAGAGUCUUCAGAAAUUAACUCCAAAGAGUCUUCAGAAAUUAACUCCAAAGAGUCUUCAGAAAUUAACUCCAAAGAGUCUUCAGAAAUUAACUCCAAAGAGUCUUCAGAAAGUAACUCCACAGAGUCUUCAGAAAGUAACUCCACAGAUGACCAUAAAGACAACUCCUCUGAUUCUUCUAAAUCAGAGGAUUCCUCAGAGGAAAAGGAUGACAAGGAAGAUGCUGUAGAGUCAGACAAAGAUUCUUCUGAUGACGAUAAAGAGGAUUCCUCUGAUUCCGUUGACGCUGAUGACGCUUCUAAGGAUAUGACCGGUCAUGACGUGGAUGGUGACAAACAACUGGAGGUUCACUGUGAGGGAAACUGUGAUGUUAAGAUGUUCUACCCGUCAGCUGAAGAAGACACUACUGACAAAAAUGACAGUGAUGAAGAUAAGGACAGUUCUUCUGCAGAAGAGAAGGACAGUGCAAGUGACUCAGACAUAAAGGAAGAAGUUCACAGUGACAGCAAAGAUGACAGCAAGGACAGCGCAGAUGACAGUGACAAAGACGACAGCAAGGACAGCAAGGAUGAGAGCAAAGACGACAGCAAGGACAGCAAGGAUGAGAGCAAAGACGACAGCAAGGACAGCGCAGACGACUCUGACAAAGACGACAGCAAAGACAGCAAGGAUGAGAGCAAAGACGACAGCAAAGACAGCAAGGAUGAGAGUAAAGCUGAAUCAGACUCAAACAGUGAAGAUGACACCAAGUCAGAUGAUAGCAUGAUGAAAGAGUCCAAAGAUGGGCCUGUUCCUAUCACCCCAUUCUCUGAGUAGAGCCCACAAGACACUGGAAUCAGAUGAUCAGGAUAACAAACAUCAUCAAAACUCCACCAUUGCUCUUAACUUCCUUAAACAUCUGCUACAUAGAAAUAAACUACAACAUUUAUUGCAUAAAAAAG